AUACGAACCGGACAAACGUUAUUCGGAAUCAUUGGGCUUAAAGGGUGCGUAGGCGGCUUAGUAGGUGGGGUGUGAAAUCCCUCGGCUCAACCGAGGAACUGCUCCCCAAACCACUAGGCUAGAGGGAGACAGAGGUAAGCGGAACUGAUGGUGGAGCGGUGAAAUGCGUUGAUAUCAUCAGGAACACCAGUGGCGAAAGCGGCUUACUGGGUCUCUUCUGACGCUGAGGCACGAAAGCUAGGGUAGCGAGCGGGAUUAGAAACCCCAGUAGUCC
rnacentral:rRNA from 1 species